rnacentral:misc_RNA from 1 species
GGAGAAACCAUGAGCUCGAAGUGAAGGCGAUGAAGGUUGGAAAUGUACCGAGGAGUAUAAAGAUUAAGUUCAAAGUAGGAAAUUCAACAUCAGGGGUUGAUUAUAUGGUGCAGGUUCUUAAGUGCUUGAAUAGCUUGGGAUCAAAAAUCACAAGCAUUAAAUCAAGGUUUUCUGAUCAAGAAGUUGCGGCAGUAAUGGAUAUUGAAACCGAGAUUUCAGAUGCUGA